rnacentral:rRNA from 1 species
UACGUAGGGGGCAAGCGUUGUCCGGAAUCAUUGGGCGUAAAGCGCGUGUAGGCGGCUUGGUAAGUCUGCUCUGAAAGCCCGGGGCUCAACCCCGGGAGGCGGGUGGAUACUGUCAAGCUCGAGUCCGGAAGAGGAGUGUGGAAUUCCUGGUGUAGCGGUGAAAUGCGCAGAUAUCAGGAGGAACACCUAUUGCGAAGGCAGCUCGCUGGGACGUUACUGACGCUGAGACGCGAAAGCGUGGGGAGCGAACAGG